GACGAACGCUGGCGGCGUGCCUAACACAUGCAAGUCAACUUGACUGAAGGAGCAAUCUGACAGUAGAGUGGCGCAAGGGUGCGUAACGCGUAAGUAACUUGCCCCAAGGUAAGGAAUAACGUCGAGAAAUCGGCGCUAAUACCUCAUAAUGCAGCGGAUCCGCAUGGAUAUGUUGUUAAAGGUUUACCGCCUUGGGAUAGGCUUGCGUCUGAUUAGUUAGUUGGUGUGGUAACGGCACACCAAGGCUACGAUCAGUAACUGGUCUGAGAGGAUGAUCAGCCACACUGGAACUGAGACACGGUCCAGACUCCUACGGGAGGCAGCAGUGAGGAAUAUUGGGCAAUGCUCGAAAGAGUGACCCAGCAACGCCGCGUGGAGGAUGAAGGUAUUCUAUAUCGUAAACUCCUGUGAGAGCAGACGAAAGACAGAUUAUUAAUACUGAUGACUGUAUGCUCAGAGGAAGACCCCGGCC
rnacentral:rRNA from 1 species